GGGAACAUGGCUUAGUGGUAGAGUGCUUGCCUAGCAUGCAUGAAGCCCUGGGUUCAAUUCCUCAGUACCA
rfam:Dipodomys ordii contig_8278, whole genome shotgun sequence.